rnacentral:lncRNA from 1 species
CUUACAUCAUGCAGCAUCCAUCUUGGGGAGAGUGGUGGCGGGUCCUUUCCUUGUUCUCUUGCUCCCUGCCGCCUACCUGAGACCGCAGGAAAUCUGGGUCUUUCUGAAGGCAUCUUCUUGUGGUGUAGUCCCCUUGGAACCGCGGCCUUUAGAAUGAACAUGACAUCACCUUGGGCAACAACGACAGAGGGUGUGUUCCUGUAGGAGACAAGACACGGGGAGAUCCAAGGUGAAACAGAUCUAUCAUUUACGCUGCGCCAAUUUCAGGUUGGUCAGCGGGUCAUGGCAAGCAGGAGACACAAUGCUAAUGACUCCGGCUCCACGUGGCGACCAUUCAGGAAAAAGCUGCAAUGUUCUCUCUGCCACAUUAAUCAGAGAAACACAUCAAGAGUUGUUGCGUGGAGACAGCUUUCCUCCCAGUACUCGCCCUGCAUACUAAUCACCACCCCCUCCUGGCGGUGAGUCAGCUCCAAACCAGGCCGGUGGUGGUAAGGGAAGGCCAGAAACACCAGCUCCAUCCACGUGGGGAGCAGCUGGAGGAGCGGGAGCCAGGCCCUCCACCGCCCUUUCUUCUAGAGAUGCGGUUUCACUCUGUUGCCCAGGCUAGAGUGCACUAAUACAAUCAUAGCUUACUGCACCCUCAACCUCCUGGGCUCAAGCAAUCCUCCUGCCUCAGCCUCAUGAGUAGCUGGGACUACAGGUGAGCACCACCACACCUGGCUAUCCUCAUUUUUUGUUUUUAACCUCUACCUAAUAUUCCAUGCGUGCCUGUAACACAGUUGAUUCAACCACGCCCCUCUCACUCCCCCUCACUCAGGGUCCCAGCUCUAGAGGACAUGGGUCAAAAGGUUUUCAUGGUAAAUGGUGCCUCUGCACAAUUCCAGGGGAUGCCAUCCACACCCAGAAUGCAGCAGCCCUGCCUGAUGAAGAGAUAAGGUGGCUCCAGUUUUUACCAUACAAACAAUUCUGCACCGAGCAUGCUCACCCAUGUCUCUUUGUGCACAUGUGUGAGUGGUUCUCCAGGCAUUGAUGAUUCAGGGUGGAGCUGGAGGGCAGAGGCCAUUGCACCCGCCAGAAGGUGCGGUGGGAGAGGCAGGCCCACAUUUCAGAGGGCCUUGCUGCCCCCAUGUGGCAUGAGGCUGUAGCGGCUGCAGCCUCCUCUUCCCUCCCUCCUGCCACUGCUCCCGAAGCCAAGGCUUUUGCAGGGUUGAAAAGGAAGAGAAAGAGGAGAAGCAGGAAUGUGAGAGAAAUGAGGCAGAGGGAUGGGCUAGGGAAGAGAGAAGCCCUUCUGCGUUACCUGGAAAUGCAGCAACAAUAAUAACAAAGCCAAUGUUAGGAAUGUUUAAAGGCAGCUGCCACAUAGCACUUUUUAUAGCUUGUAGACUCUCUCAUUUAAUCCUGGCACUUACAUCAAUCUGAUUAGUAGCUAUUAUUAGUUUUAUAGGUGAUGAUCCAAGGCGCAAUUAUUUGUUCCCCAGCUAGUAGGUGACAGAGCCCAGAUUGAAUCUGACUCCAGAACCCUAACCACGAUAUUCCCCUGUCUAGAAGGAGCCAGUUCUCUCAUCAAUGCAAGUGAAGUAUAUUUAUCUGUUGGCCUGAAAACAUGUCCUAGUAUAUUGUCCCAUUAAGCAAAAAGCAGGUUAUAAAGCUGUGUACAUUAAGAAACAUUUUAUAAGUGAAACAAAAGUAUUCUCCGUUUCUAUGCAGAGAAAAAGGAUAUUUGCCAAGAUGUUAACAGAUUAUUUUUGCUGUCUUCUCUUGGCUUAUUUUUGUUUUCUCUUUUUCAAUGAACACCAAUUAGUCACAUGAUUUUAAAAAGCAAUAAAAAUAAACCAAUCCCAGACGGAUUGUACUUCUUCCUGUCCUCAUUUCUACCCCGAGUCUCCAAAAAAAAAAAAAAAAAAAAAGAAGAAAGAAAAAAAAAUCACAGUGCCACAUGCCCAGACCUUCCCUUCUCCCUCCUAUCAUUUCAAUAACUCAGCUGGGUAGGGAGCGUCUCUACCUACCCCAGGAAGCCUUCUGAACUUGACUGACAGGAGAAGCCCAUGCCCCAGGGGCAUUUUCUCACUGACCAUGCCAGGGCCCUGGAGGACAAGCCAGAGCUGUCCAUGGCAUUGCUCCUGCAGGUGAUGCU